UGUGCGUUUUUACCCAUUUCAAAAAAGUGUUUCGAGAGUACGUGAUUAAAAGACAGUAUGCACCAUAUUUUGAUUGGUUACACUUUUGAACGCUCCUUUUUGAACCAAUAGAAAACAACA
rnacentral:miRNA from 1 species